UGUCAAGUGUGUAAGGGCAUGCGGUGGAUGCCUGGGCAUCAGGAGCCGAUGAAGGACGUGGGAGCCUGCGAUAUGCCCUGGGGAGUUGGCAACCGAGCUAUGAUCCGGGGAUUUCCGAAUGGGGUAACCUGGCGGCAGUUGUGUGUCGUCGCCUCCACCUGAAUGUAUAGGGUGGUAGGAGGGAACGCGGGGAAGUGAAACAUCUCAGUACCCGUAGGAAGAGAAAACAAGUGUGAUUCCGUGAGUAGUGGUGAGCGAAAGCGGAGGAGGCUAAACCGUGCGCGUGUGAGACCUGGCAGGGGUUGCGUGUGCGGGGUUGUGGGGCUGUGCUGUGUUAGUGCUGCCAUGCUAGCUCGGAGUGAUAAAUCGUUGCUGAAGCCGAAGGGUUUGAAUGGCCUGGCGUAGAGGGUGUGACCCCCGUAGGCGUGUGGGUGACGACUUCGAUGGUGCAGUUCCCGAGUAGCACGGGGCUCGAGGAAUCUCGUGUGAAUCUGCCAGGACCACCUGGUAAGCCUAAAUACUUCCUGAUGACCGAUAGUGGAUCAGUACCGUGAGGGAAUGGUGAAAAGGACCCCGGGAGGGGAGUGAAACAGAACCUGAAACCGUGUGCCUAUAAGCCGUCAAAGCCGGGCCCCUUUUGGGGGUGUGGUGAUGGCGUGCCUUUUGCAGAAUGAGCCUGCGAGUUAGUGGUGUGUGGCGAGGUUAACCCGUGUGGGGUAGCCGUAGCGAAAGCGAGUCUGAACAGGGCGUUGGUAGUCGCAUGCUCUAGACCCGAAACGAAGUGAUCUACCCAUGGGCAGGGUGAAGCGUGGGUAAGACCGCGUGAAGGCCCGAACCGACCUACGUUGAAAAGUGGGCGGAUGAUCUGUGGGUAGGGGUGAAAGGCCAAUCAAACUUCGUGAUAGCUGGUUCUCCCCGAAAUGCAUCUAGGUGCAGCGUCGUGUGGUUCUUGUCGGAGGUAGAGCUACUGGGUGGCCGAUGGGCCUUCACCGGUUACUGACGUCAGCCAAACUCCGAAUGCCGACAAGUAGAGCGCGGCAGUGAGACUGCGGGGGAUAAGCUUCGUAGUCGAGAGGGAAACAGCCCAGAUCACCAGCUAAGGCCCCCAAGUGUGUGCUAAGUGGGAAAGGAUGUGGAGUCGCAGAGACAACCAGGAGGUUGGCUUAGAAGCAGCCAUCCUUGAAAGAGUGCGUAAUAGCCCACUGGUCAAGUGAUUCUGCGCCGACAAUGUAGCGGGGCUCAAGCACACCGCCGAAGCUGUGGCAGCCACACAAGAAAGCCCAACCCUGCGCCUGCGUGGUGUGGGGUUCAGGUGUGUGGCUGGGUAGGGGAGCGUCGCAUACCGGUCGAAGGUGCCGGGUGACCGAGCAGUGGACGGUAUGCGAGUGAGAAUGCAGGCAUGAGUAACGAAAGCAGGGUGAGAAUCCCUGCCGCCGGAUGACUCAGGGUUCCAGGGCCAGGCUGAUCCGCCCUGGGUAAGUCGGGACCUAAGGCGAGGCCGACAGGCGUAGUCGAUGGAUAACGGGUUGAUAUUCCCGUACCGGUGUUGGUGCGUCCCUGCCGAGGCUGGGGAUGCUAACUACACGAGACCAGCGUGUCCCUUUCGAGGGAUGCGGUUGGUGGUUGUGUGGAACCCGAACUGGUAGUAGGCAAGUGAUGGGGUGACACAGACGGGUAGCCCAACCCGGGCGAUGGUAGACCCGGGGUAACAGCGCAGGGCCGUGGUAGGCAAAUCCGCCACACCAGAGCCCGAGGCUGGAUGCCGAGCCGAUUGUGGCGAAGUGGGUGAUCCCAGGCUGUCAAGAAAAGCCUCUAGCGAGUACCGACACCGCCCGUACCCCAAACCGACACAGGUAGUCAGGUAGAGCAUACCAAGGCGAGCGAGAUAACCGUGGUUAAGGAACUCGGCAAAUUGCCCCCGUAACUUAGGGAGAAGGGGGCCCGAACGCGUGAACGGGCACGUCCCCGGUAAGCGUGAACGGGCGCAGAGACCAGGGGAGAGCGACUGUUUAUUAAAAACACAGGUCCGUGCGAAGAAGCAAUUCGAUGUAUACGGACUGACGCCUGCCCGGUGCUGGAACGUUAAGAGGACCCGUUAACCACAUCGUGGUGAAGCGGAGAAUUUAAGCGCCAGUAAACGGCGGUGGUAACUAUAACCAUCCUAAGGUAGCGAAAUUCCUUGUCGGGUAAGUUCCGACCUGCACGAAUGGCGUAACGACUUUCCCACUGUCUCAACCACGGACUCGGUGAAAUUGCACUACGAGUAAAGAUGCUCGUUACCCGCAGCAGGACGGAAAGACCCCGGGACCUUUACUACAGCUUGGUAUUGGUGUUCGGUUCGGCUUGUGUAGCAUAGGUGGGAGACUGUGAAACGGGCACGCCAGUGCUCGUGGAGUCACCGUUGAAAUACCACUCUGGUCGUUCGGAGCAUCUAACCUCGGUCCGUGACCCGGAUCAGGGACAGUGCCUGGUGGGUAGUUUAACUGGGGCGGUUGCCUCCCAAAAGGUAACGGAGGCGCUCAAAGGUUCCCUCAGCCUGGUUGGCAAUCAGGUGGCGAGUGCAAGUGCACAAGGGAGCUUGACUGCAAGACCGACGCGUCGCGCAGGACCGAAAGGUGGAACUAGUGAUCCGGCAGUCGCGCGUGGAAGCGCUGUCGCUCAACGGAUAAAAGGUACCCCGGGGAUAACAGGCUGAUCCUGCCCAAGAGUCCAUAUCGACGGCAUGGUUUGGCACCUCGAUGUCGGCUCGUCGCAUCCUGGGGCCGGAGCCGGUCCCAAGGGUUGGGCUGUUCGCCCAUUAAAGCGGCACGCGAGCUGGGUUUAGAACGUCGUGAGACAGUUCGGUCCCUAUCCGCUGCGGGCGCAGCAGACUUGAGAAGCACUGUCCCUAGUACGAGAGGACCGGGACGGACGGACCUCUAGUGCGCCAGUUGUUCCGCCAGGAGCACCGCUGGUUAGCUACGUCCGGCACGGAUAACCGCUGAAAGCAUCUAAGCGGGAAGCCACCUUCAAGAUGAGGUCUGCCACCACCACCGCGUGGGUAAGGCCCCCAGCAGACCACUGGGUUGAUAGGCCAGACGUGAAAGCCUGGUAACAGGUGCAGCUGACUGGUACUAAUAGGCCGAGGACUUGACACACACCCCA
rnacentral:rRNA from 1 species